CUGGUUUCUGGUGGAGCUGCUGCUGAGGGACACUGAGCUGUCUGCCGAAGAGUGCUAGCACACUGGGCCGGGGAUGUAGCUCAGUGGUGCCGAGCCUGCCUCAAAAGCGAAAGGGCCUGAGUUCAAUCCCUGGUACCAAAAAAAAAGUGCUAACACAUUCUCCUUGCUCUUAAGAGACAGUCUGGGUUUAUGACCUCAUUGCUGUCAUUCAUGUGAGAGUGGGAGCAGAAAAAUCAGCAGGAGAGAUUUGCAGAGCAAGUAAGACAGGACAUGGGGACCUGGGCCUAAGGCCACGGAGCCAGCCAGGACCAGGCUUAAGUGGCCAGAUGUCCACAUGGACAGGAGCCACACCAAGCCUAUGGACAGGAAAGGCAGCAGAUGAGGUGAGAAGAAGGUCCCCUCCGGCAGGCAAGGAGACAGACGGAGCACAGCACAAGGUCACGGGCCCUCAGCCAGGAGGGCCUCUCCAGCACCGGGCAGGCCUGCAGUGUGGCAGUGCCCGUGAGAGGCCAGUGUCACCAAAGUCAAAGUCCUCAAGGUCCAGAGGCCGAAGGUCUCCGAGGCCAGGGACUGGGACAACAGGCAAAAGUCCAGUUUCCGGAAGACCACAGGAAGAAGGCGGGAGCUGCACACCUGGGCCCUCGUGGUGGGAGAGGAGGGCACACACAGAUUUGAAGGCUACACUGCCCACAAGUUGCCUUCAGCUGCAGUAUGGAAGACACAUCAGAAAGCGUAGGAGAGACCAUUGGCAGCUCUUACAGCCUGACCCCUCCAGAAUGGACACAGGAGAAAGCCUGAAUGACCUGUUCGAGACCCCCAGCAAUGCAGGAUGUUCUGGGUAUGUGACACCUUCCCUUUUGCAUGUUUUUAAAGCUAAAGAAAAGUGAGCUGAGGGUGAAGGCUAAUUUUCUACUUUUCCCUUGCUCAGGAGUUCAGUGUCUUUAAUCUUCCAGGAAGCGCUCCCACGAGGCUGCUGGGCCUGGGCGAACCCCAGCUGGGCCAGUCUCUGAGAAGGGCCUUCCUUUUUUCAUCUCACAAGUUACAUUUUGUUUUGCCUUUUCUCUUGCUACAUGUAAUUUUUUUUUUUUUUGGUACAAUGCCUUCACACAGACUUUAUUUUAGAAAGAUUUUCCAAGAAAUUAGAGUUCCAAGUCUUCCAGAUACUGCAAAACAAGCCCUGCACUUGCCUUUCUUUGACAAAACUUGGCAGCCUGCCUCAAAACACAUUAUUCAGCAGGUGCCCGCGUGGCAGCAUUCCCAAGUCCUCUAUAAUCGUACAAGAGUGUUUUUUCUUUCUGAAGAAGCCUUUGCUUCCAGAUAAGACGUUUUCUUGAACUGAAGCAGCUAUUUUCCUUUGUCAGGUAGGAAAUCUACUAUACCCUAACACAGGGAGGGCCUGCCCGUCCUGCAAAUACGAACAUUUAAAACACUCCCUAAUAAACAGUGUGUUGGCUUAGUCCAUUUCUGACUACUUCUUGAUUUAUAAUAACAGGACACUUUAAUAUAACUUGCAUUCAACAAAAUGCAAACAACAUAAACACCUUUUAGUUGGCUGGGUUCCUAACCUUUGUCCUGACGUUACUCACAGUGCAAAACUAGUAGGUCAAAUUACUUACGGAGUAUACAAAUGAUAAAUGUUCGCUGCGGAAAAAAUUCAAAGGUACAGGAAAAAAGAAAGUAAAAAUGAUGCGAAAUUCAGAC
rnacentral:lncRNA from 1 species